AUGUAUCCUCGCCAUGGAAGUGCGCCUCUCCAGCGAAAGAAAAUCGCGCGAGACGUAAAUCGAGAGAACGUGGUCCCUGCAGGCUGAGCAGAGUAAGAUAUUGAUAAAGGAAGAGUAGCUUGGUGGCGCGUUUCCAAUGUAAAGUGGGCCGAGACCGGUCGUGUUCCCGCAUAUAAACCCCGUGUCCCACGACAGGGCUCCUUAACCUAUUUAUUCGCGGAGAAGAACCGACUCCACGGAUCUUAGCUCGAAAGUCCCUUGUUCGCUGUGAUCGAAAUUGGAUUACAGCCAUUUUGAUAGUUCUGGUUCGAUCAAACAUUUGUGCCUUUUCCUUCGCGCCCAAUUACAAUGGACAGCGAGAUCCUCUGUGACCGAAGAAGCGGAACGAAGAAAGGGCAGAGAGUGGGUUGCUGGCAAAUGGAAAGCCGGCUUACCCUCCGAAAUUACGGCCACUCUCAUUAUACCAGGCUGGUAUUACGUUUGCCCUGGAAACCUAGUUGAAUGGGCGGGUUCGAUGUGAUUGGUGGACAGACGCGUGGCCAGGCUUGAUGGAAAAGUGCGUUUGGUUAUUGGUUUCGGUGGUUUCCUAGUUUGGGAAGCUUGUAGCAGUAUUGGAAACAAGGGAAGUAUGCUGGAUCGUAAUGGAUUAUCUCGAUCUCGCGUGUAUUUUUGGCUGCAAUUAUUCAGAUAUGUGUAAUUUUGUGUGCUACACUGGAUUAGCCGUGUAGUAGUGACACACAUAUAUGAGUAUGUGUGUAUGUGGAAGUAUGUGCGUGCGCAGUGUCUCGUAGAAUAGAAGAAUGCAAUUUGUCGAAGUAAUUACUUUAAGGGAAACUCUACGUCUUUGCUUUUGUAUAUCCGUGACCCGGAGACCGCUGUUAAGAAGAAAAUAGAAUUUAGUGAAAAAAUUCGAAAUAAGGAGAGGUGCAUAUUAUUGUGCCUUUGAAUAUAAAUGUUGUUUUGGAUUACAAGGUCUAGAAACAAAGGAGCUAUAAAUAGAUUUCUAUGUAUGUUUCUUGUAGUCUUCAGCUACAACUACAAGGUUAACUUUUUGGUAAUGUCCUUUGAUAUGAACGUGCUCCCUAUCCUUCUUUUUAUUUUAUUGUAACACUGUAAGAGUGAGGAUCUGCAUCAGCAUACACUAUACCUGUACUUAUACUUAUACCUAUACUUAUUUCAAUAUAUUUUUCUAUUACAAAUUCAUCCACUCGUUCCUCUAUCACUUAACCUCAAUAAUAUCAUAUAUGAAAUUAAUAAAUAAUGAUAACAAUUUAUUUGAUUUUGACCUCAUACAUUAUACUUGUACUUAUACUUAUAUUUCAAUAUAUUUUUCUAUUACAAAUUCAUCCACUCGUUGUUCUAUCAAUCAAUCUCAACAAUAUGAUAUAUUAAAUUAAUAAAUAAUGAUAACAAUUUAUUUGAUUUUAACCUCAUACACUAUACCUGUGCUUAUACUUAUAUUUCAAUAUAUUUUUCUAUUAGAAAUUCAUCCAAUCGUCUCUCUAUUAGCUAACCUCAACGCAACUGUUUUGUACGCAUAGUGGUAGAAUGAUGGUGAGACAAAAAGAGUGCUGAGACGCGUGCAAUGUGUAUCCACGAAUAUCUUGUAAAUCACAUAUUAAAUAAAUAUGAAACUAUUUUAAUAUCA